UACGUAGGGUGCGAGCGUUGUCCGGAAUUAUUGGGCGUAAAGGGCUCGUAGGCGGUUUGUCGCGUCGGGAGUGAAAUCCACUGGCUUAACUGGUGGCUUGCUUUCGAUACGGGCAGACUGGAGGUAUGCAGGGGAGAACGGAAUUCCUGGUGUAGCGGUGAAAUGCGCAGAUAUCAGGAGGAACACCGGUGGCGAAGGCAGUGUCCUGGCUGGCAACUGACGCUGAGGCGCGAAAGCUAGGGGAGCGAACAGG
rnacentral:rRNA from 1 species